rnacentral:rRNA from 1 species
GAUGAACGCUGGCGGCGUGCCUAAUACAUGCAAGUCGAGCGAACGGACGAGAAGCUUGCUUCUCUGAUGUUAGCGGCGGACGGGUGAGUAACACGUGGAUAACCUACCUAUAAGACUGGGAUAACUUCGGGAAACCGGAGCUAAUACCGGAUAAUAUUUUGAACCGCAUGGUUCAAAAGUGAAAGACGGUCUUUCUGUCACUUAUAGAUGGAUCCGCGCUGCAUUAGCUAGUUGGUAAGGUAACGGCUUACCAAGGCAACGAUGCAUAGCCGACCUGAGAGGGUGAUCGGCCACACUGGAACUGAGACACGGUCCAGACUCCGACGGGAGGCAGCAGUAGGGAAUCUUCCGCGAUGGGCGAAAGCCUGACGGAGCAACGCCGCGUGAGUGAUGAAGGUCUUCGGAUCGUAAAACUCUGUUAUUAGGGAAGAACAUAUGUGUAAGUAACUGUGCACAUCUUGACGGUACCUAAUCAGAAAGCCACGGCUAACUACGUG